UCUCUGAUAGUCUAAGUGGUUAGAGCGUCCGCCUCGGACGCGGGAAGUCGCGGGUUCGAACCCCGGCCGAGUCAUACCGAA